rnacentral:lncRNA from 1 species
UUCACACAAUCCCAUGUACUAAAUAAGAAAGGGAUAAAGAGUUAGCUUACAAUCGCCACUUCAAACAGAUAACAAGUUAAACAUACAUCAACCAGAGUACAAUCAAGGUCCGACUGCGGGGCCAAAAAUAAAAGAAGACAACCCCAAUGCUAGAUCCCUGAUCGUCCCAACUGGGCACCACUACCGAUCAUCCGAAAAAGACACAACACAACGACCAAGAUCUUCAUCGAGCUCCCACUAGAGCUCGGUUGCGUCACAUGCACUGGUAUCGUCGGCACCUGCAACUGUUUGGAAGUAUCCGUGAGUCACGAGGACUCAUCAAUCUCACACCCGCGAGAUCAAGACUAUUUAAGCUUAUGGGUAGGGUAAGGUAAUGAGGUGGAGCUGCAGUAAUCACUAAGCAUAAAUGGUGGAUAACAUACGCAAAUAAGAGCGAGAAGAGAAGCAACACGAUAGUCGAGAAGCUAGAAGUGAUCAAGAAGUGAUCUUGAAACUACUUACAUUCAAGCAUAACACAAAAUCGUGUUCACUUCCCGGACUCCACCGAGAACAUACCAUCACGGCUACACACACGGUUGAUGUAUUUUAAUUAAGUCAAGUGUCAAGUUCUCUACAACCGAAUAUUAACAAAUUCCCGUCUGCCACAUAACCGCAGACACGACUCUCGAAAGUUUAUACCCUGCACAGGUGUCCCAACUUAGCCCAUCACAAGCUCUCACGGGCAACGAAGAAUAUUCCUUCUCCCGGAAAGACCCGAUCAGUCUCGGAAUCCCGGUUACAAAACAUUUCGACAAUGGUAAAACAAGACCAGCAAAGCCGCCCGAUGUGCCGACAAAUCCCGAUAGGAGUCGCACGUAUCUCGUUCUCAAGGCAUACCGGAUGAACACUAUGUACGGCAAUCGAAGAUACCCCAAGUUGCCUAGGGGCGGCACCGCAAGUGGCUCUAUUUUGGACCAACACUCAGAGGAGCACUGGCCCGGGGGUUAAAAUAAAGAUGACCCUUGAGUCUGCAGAACCCAAGGAAAAAAUGCUUAGGUGGCAAAUGUAAAACCAAGGUUGGGCCUUGCUGGAGGACUUUUGUUCAAAGCGAACUGUGAAGGGGUUCCCAUAACACCCAACCGCGUAAGGAACGCAAAAUCAAGGAACAUAACACCGGUAUGCUGGAAACUAGGGUGGCAAGAGUGAAACAAAACACCAGGCAUAAGGCCGAGCCUUCCGCCCUUUACCAACUAUAUAGAUGCAUUAAUUAAAUAAGAUAUAUUGUGAUAUCCCAACAUAUCCAUGUUCCAACAUGGAACAAACUUCAACUUCACCUGCAACUAGCAACGCUAUAAGAGGGGUUGAGCAAAAGCGGUAACAUAGCCAAACAACGUUUUGCUAGGAAGGUGGGUUAGAGGCUUGACAUGGCAAUAUGGAAGGCAUGUUAUAACAAGUGGUAGGUAGCGCGACAUAGCGAUAGAACGAACAACUAGCAAGCAAAGAUAGAAGUGAUUUCGAGGGUAUGGUCAUCUUGCCUGAGAUCCCGCAAGGAAGAAGAGCGAGUCCAUGAAGAAGACAAACGGACGUGGUUGAACGGAUUC